rnacentral:lncRNA from 1 species
UGUAUGACAGUUCCAGUUUCCCCACAUCCUUGCCAACGCUGGUUAUUAUCAGUCUUUUUGCUUAUAACCAUCCUAAUGGAUGUGAAAGUUGACUUGAAUUUGUGCGAUGGUUCAUGGCAUUGAACUUUCAUGUCCUUAUUGGCCAUUAUGUCUUUGGUGAAAUACCUAUGGAGAUCCCUUGCCCAUUUUAUCAGUUGGUCUAUUAUUGAGUUGUAGGAGUUCUUUUUACAUUCUGGAUAUCAGCCCCUUAUCAGAUAUGUGAUUGGCAAGUAUUUUCUCCCAUUUGGUGGAUUGUCUUUUCAUUUUCUUCAUGGUGUCACUUGUUUUGGUGUCAAAAUUCUACAUUUUGAUGAAGUCCAGCGUAUCUCUUUUUUCUUUUGUUGCUUGUGCUUUUUGUGUUAUAGCUAAGAAAUUAUUGCCUAACCCAAGGUAACAAAGAUGUACACCUGAUGUUCCAGUUCCCAUUGUGGCUCAGGGGGUUAAGAAUCCAACUAGUAUCCGUGGAGAUGCAGGUUUGAGAUAGAGAUCUGACUUCAUUAUUUUGCAUGUGGUGACCCAGUUGUUCCUGCACCAUCUGUUAUUAUUUUUUCCAAAUAACAUUUUUAUUUUGAAAAGUGUUUAGAUUUAUAGAAAUGUUACAGAAAUAAUAUAGAGAGCACCUGUAUACAAUUGACCCUUGAACAACACGGGGGUUUGGGGAGCCCACCCUCUCCUCAGUCAAAAAUCCAAGAAUAACUUUACAGUCGGCCCUCCAUGUCCACAGCCCUGUAUCCACAGAUUCAACCAACCUUGGAUUGUGCCAUACUGCAGUGUUUACUACUGAAAAAAAAAAAAAUCCGCAUAGAAGUGGGCCCAUACAGUUCAAACCCCUAUUGUUCAAGGGUCAGCUGUGUCUCUUUUUAACAACUCUAUGGUUUUCCCCUUAGGCCUAUGUCAUAACCCCCUUAGGCCUAUGUACCCAUUCCCAAAUUUCAUGGACCCUUUAUACAGUUUAUUGGCCUUUUCUACUCCAAUUUUUCUCCAAUGGACAGAGUUAAGCCUAGUAAUUGUCUACCCACAGGUCUUUUUUCCAAGGCAUAUGGAAGUUCCUGGGCACGGCUCAAAUGUGUGUCACAGCAGUGACCCAAGCCACUGCAGUGAUGAUGCCAGGUCCUUAACCUCCUGAGCCACACGGUAACUCCCCAAAGGUCUUUUUUUAUUUAUGAUCGUCACCACUGGCUUGCGGUAGUGGAGAGUAGGCUAAGAUAAUUUGUUCCAGAUUCAUAGGAAGUAGAUACUUUUUAAAAGGGUUACUUUUUUUUUAAGUGUGCACUUUGGGAGUGUUGAUUGUGUUUAUAUUGUGUGACAGAAGAGUUACUUGUAUAAACUCAGAAAAUUAUGUAAAAUAAUCUGAAUAAUAGUAACCAGAAAAUAUUUCCAGAAAGUAUUUUCAUAGCAACACUUUCCAUUCUCAUGGAUGUGUCUUCUCUCUGACUCUUCCAGGCUCUUUGGCUCCUGAGCUCCAGAUAUGGAACCAGGAACACAGCUUCUCAGAUGCUGAGUCUCUCUUCCUCUGUUCCUGACGACUUCAAGAAUAUUUUGAUUGGAAAACUGGUGACCUUCCCAGAAAACCCAAGCAUGUGGUGGGUGGAAAAAAUGUUCAGCAAGAUGCACACAGUUUCCCAGCCAUGUCACUGUUUUCUUUUCAAAGAUAUUUUCACUUUGAUCUCUGCACUGAAAUGCUGUCUACUAAAAGAGUUUGAGGAGGGCUUAUGCAUGGGGCUGUGAUAACUGGCAUUCCCCAGAGAUAAAAGACCAAAUCUAGAUUGUUUCAUCAGAUCAGAAUCCCUCCUUUACCAAGCUUUCACUGGAACCCCAUUUCUGGGUGUUUCUUGGUUUGUUUUUAAUAACCAUACUAACUGGUUCAAAUUAUACAGAUUUUGAAAAAUAUUUUUUAUCCACGGAUUUGAUGCAGAAAGGUUGGCCUUUAAGUUUAAUGCACCCUCUUAUGGGGCUGCAUUUAUGAGGAACAAGCAAGUUCAGUGUUGCUGGGUCUGGGUCCAAACUUCAUCCCUAUUCCGACGGGCUCUGCUCAGUCACUCUGUGCCACUGAGGUUGUCCCCAGGACUUGAAGGGUGAAGUAUAACUGAUCCCCACGGAAGAGAGGUAUAGAACAGUUGGCAGGGAAGGAUGGGGAUUUUAUGAGAAAUUUUGCCUUGCUUUCAAGCCCUCUAUUAAAGUAACUUUUGGGGCCAUUCAUUGUACAGUUUUUAGAAUGAUUUUUGUGGUGAUAUUGGGACCCAGUCCUGAAAGCUUGGGUUUUUGGGGUGUGCUUUGUUGGUGGGUAGUUUCAAGGUUGCAAAACAGUAAGCCUCAUUUGAGGAAAUACAAUAUUUUGCACAGAAGCUUCUUGGAAGGAAGUCCUGGUUUAAUUGCCAAAAUGACAUGCUGGUGGUCAGGGCUCAGAUUCCACAGGUGUUGGAUUUGUUUGUUGUGGUUUUCGAAAUCCUGACUUGUAGGUAACCUGGUGCGAGGAAAAACAAAUAGGCAGGCUUUUAGAACUAAAUAGCAUUGAAAAUAAAGCUUGUUUCAAAAAAGGACUUUUUGUUUAUACAUUUUUUACCCAAGAAAUUGGCUUUUUUUCUUUUAAAUUAAAAAAAAAAUCUUUUUUGUUACUUUUAUUUAGUUUUUUAAAAAUUUAUUUUAUUAGAGUUCCUGCAGUGGUGCAGUGGGUUAAGAGGCCGGCAUUUUCUCUGUGGUGGUGCAGUUUCAAUCCCUGGCCUAGCCCAGUGGGUUGGAGAUUUGGUGUUGCUGCAGCUGUGGCAUAGAUCAAAGCUGUGGCUCAGAUUCAGUCCCUG